CACCAGUGGCGAAGGCGGCUCUCUGGGCUACACCUGACGCUGAGGCGCGAAAGCUAGGGGAGCGAACGGGAUUAGAUACCCCGGUAGUCCUAGCCGUAAACGAUGGGUACUAGGUGUAGGAGGUAUCGACCCCUCCUGUGCCGCAGUUAACACAAUAAGUACCCCGCCUGGGGAGUACGGCCGCAAGGUUGAAACUCAAAGGAAUUGACGGGGGCCCGCACAAGCAGUGGAGCAUGUGGUUUAAUUCGACGCAACGCGCAGAACCUUACCAGGGCUUGACAUCCCCUGCCGGACGCGGAAACGCGUCGUCCUAGGCUUCGGUCUAGGCAGGGUGACAGGUGGUGCAUGGUUGUCGUCAGCUCGUGUCGUGAGAUGUUGGGUUAAGUCCCGCAACGAGCGCAACCCCUAUUCUCUGUUGCCAGCAUUGAGUUGGGCACUCAGAGGAGACUGCCGGAGACGAUCCGGAGGAAGGUGGGGAUGAGGUCAAAUCAUCAUGCCCCUUAUGUCCUGGGCUACACACGUGCUACAAUGGCCGGCACAACGGGCUGCGAGGCAGCGAUGCCAAGCGAAUCCCUAAAAGCCGGUCCCAGUUCGGAUCGCAGGCUGCAACCCGCCUGCGUGAAGCCGGAAUUGCUAGUAAUCGCGGAUCAGCACGCCGCGGUGAAUACGUUCCCGGGCCUUGUACACACCGCCCGUCACACCACGAAAGUUGGCAACACCCGAAGUCGGUGGGCUAACCCGCAAGGGGGGCAGCCGCCGAAGGUGGGGUCAAUGAUUGGGGUGAAGUCGUAACAAGGUAACC
rnacentral:rRNA from 1 species